AAGUCGUAACAAGGUUUCCGUAGGUGAACCUGCGGAAGGAUCAUUAAACCAUUUGGCCGUAACAAGCCUUAAACCUUCUCUACGUGUACCUUCACAUUCUCCUUCGGUGGGGUAACGCCCGCCGAAGGAACCAUCAAAAAACCCUUUUUGCAUCUAGUAUCAUGUAACCAGUUCUGAUAAAAAUUUAAUCGUUACAACUUUCAACAAUGGAUCUCUUGGCUCUG
rnacentral:misc_RNA from 1 species